GGAACCGAGGCUGGAGAGCUAGCUCGGGUCUGAGGUGGGGUGAGCAGGCGGCGGGAGGAAACCAAAGGCGGCGGCUGGCUGAGCCUGCAGCUCGCCGCUGAUUUACCCAGGACCACGCUCCGGAGGGGUCGUAAGCAGUUUAGCACAAGUCCGUCAUCCGCUAGUCCUGAAAGCGAUGGGCAGUGGGGUCAGGGGCAGUGGGAGGGAAUCCACCCGGCUGACGUCCUGCGGGUUCUCCGGCUCCCGGGGGCUCGGCGGCGGGCGGGGCCCUCAGAGCAGGCCACAGGGCUGUGAGCUGUGAGGGGCGUUGGGGGUCCAAGCUGACGCCCGGAGCGACCGGGAUCGCCAAGUCACGCCCCACGUGGCCUGGAGGCUUUUUCCUGGUCCUCCCAAUCCCUCAGCCAAAGGCUCUCAUUAUGUGGAGAAAGGAAGUCACUAUUUGGGAGAACUGACUGUCCCCAGGGCACGUCCCAGAAGGGGGCACAUCCUUCUGAGGAAGCGCAGGAGAUUCACAGGCAGCCUCUAUGCGUGCACCUCCAUUCAGGAUGUGCCAGGACGGCAGACCACGGCUCACGAUGCUGGCAGGACCAACAGCCGGGCACCUGGGCCUGGGGACACCGGAGGGACACUGGCCGCACACGCGGGCUGCAGAGAUGGUGACCACAGGCAGUGCAGCCGCUGGGUGUUGGCCUGUGAGGCCAUCUGUGAGGGUCUGUGGAGGCCAGCAAGGGUUUUUCACAGCUGAGAGGCGCAUAGGGACCCGAGAUGGCAGGAGCUGGCCUCACCAGCUGCCCAGAUGUGAGCUGGCUCUCCCAGGCUGGAGGAGCUGCCCCAGGGUGCUCAGAGAGCCAGGCACUUAUUUCACUCCCUGACCCAAACCCCCAGUGGGAGGUCAGUGGGUGCCACUAAGUCCUCCCCAACCCCAUCGGGCGGCAGCAUACAAAAACCUGGGUUCACAUCCAGCUUGGCCGCUCACUGUCAUGACAAGUGGACAGAUGCCCUGGGCCUCAGUUGACCCAUCUGCCCCAGACGCAGCUGCAUCCUGGAGUCCUUCUGAGAAAUGUGGGACCUGCCCCAGCUCCAGCCCAGGCGAGGGGCACCAGCCAGCUCCAGAGCUGCCUACCUUCCCUGACAGGUGCACAGGUCAGCGCCAGGCCAAUCCCAGAGCGAGAACACCUGUGCUGGACUGAGCUGGAGCAGCAGGGUGGCCUGCACAGGGGCAGAGAGGGAGGCGUUGGAUGGAGCCACCCCACGACUCCCCUGUGAAGGUCUGCACGUCACUCAGAAAGUUGAAGCAAAUCAAGCAGGGUUGGAGCCCACAGUUCACAGCCAGCUGCACAGGGGAUGCGCCAAGCACAGUUUCCUAUGACAAGUGGAAACCUGUGCACUGCAGAUGAACCGGGUCCUGGAAGGUGCAGGGACCAGGCAGCAUCUCAUCUCAGGACAUCAAGGGCUGUCCCCAACCAGCAGAUUUCCCAUAAAAACGUGCUGAACUGGGGACAAAGCUGAUUCUACAGAGCCGAGAAGCCAGACCUUCCCCGGGGAUUCCCGAGGGGGUCCCAGCCACCCUCUCCACCUGCAGAGGUUUCCUGGCCCACUGGUCCUCUGAGGGCCCCCUUCCAGCUCUUGGCCCAUGGGGGAGCCGCUUCCUCAGCUCUGGGUGUGGUGGACAGGAGACCUAGGGGUCCCUGCACCCAGCUGGGCUCAGCAUUUUCAAGCUGAACUUGGUGCGCGGCGGCUUGGAAAGCCGGGAGCCUGCUGCGUGUCUCCUGGGGCUGCUGUGAAAAAAUGACCACACACUGGGAGCCUAAAAUGAGUGACAUUUAUCUUCUCACAGUUCAGGCAGCUGGUGUCCAAAAUCAGUGGUUGGGAGGGUGGAGCUCCCUCUAAGGCUCUGGAUGGCUGCUUCCUGCCCCUUCCAGCCCCGGGCCCUUGGCAUUCCCUGGAGUGCAGCUGCUCCACCCCCAACCCCAAGCCUCCUUCCUGUGUCUCUGUGUCCAAAUUUUCCUUUCCUUUUUUUUUUUUUUGAGAUGGAGUUUUGCUCUUGUCGCCCAGGCUGGAGUGCAACAGCACGAUCUCGGCUUAUCGCAACCUCCGCCUCCUGUGUUCAAGCGAUUCGCCUGCCUCAGCCUCCUAAGUAGCUGGGAUUACAGGCGCCCACCACCACACCCAGCUAAUUUUGUGUCUUUAGUAGAGAUGGGGUUUCACGAGGUCUUUCAGGCUGGUCUCGAACUCCUGACCUCACAUGAUCCACCUGCCUCGGCCUCCCCAAAGUGCUGAGAUUACAGGCAUGAGCCACAGCACCUGGCCAAUUUUCCUUUUCUUUCUCUCUUUUCUUUUUUUUUUUUUUUUUUUUUGAGAUGGAGUCUCGCUUUGUCGCCCAGGCUGGAGUAAAAUGGCGCAAUCUUGGCUCACCGCAACCUCUGCCUUCUGGGUUCAUGCAAUUCUCCUGCCUCAGCUUCCUGAGUAGCUGAGACUACAGGCACCCGUCAUCACACCCGGCUAAUUUUUGUAUUUUUUAGUAGAGACGGAGUUUCACUAUGUUGGCCAGGCUGGUCUAGAACUCCUGAUCUCAAGUGAUCUGCCCGCCUCGGCCUCCCAAAGUGCUGGGAUUGCAGGCGUGAGACACUGCACCCGGACAAUUUUCCUUUUCUUACAAGAACACUGCUCACACUGCAUUCAGGGCCAACCCUAACCCAGUAUCGCCUCAUCCUGAUUUGAUUAUAGCGGCACAGACCUUGCUUCCGAGUGAGGCUACUUUCUCAGGUACUGGUGGACAUGAGUCUUCGGAGACACUGCUCAACCCACAGCACUCCUCCAGCUUGGUUUCUGUGACUUGUCUUCCCCAGAGGAGGGGUGCCCUGAGAGGUCUCCACUCCCUGACCGGCUCCUUGGUGCCGCGCACUCUGCGAGGCUUCCCAGGGAACAGAGCACACAGGACCACCCUCCUGGGCAGACCAAUCAGCAUCUGAGCUCACAGUUUCCCAGCAGGGCUGUAGGGUGGAGAGAGAAGCCUGGGCUGGGCUGGGCUGGGGAAGCUUCUCUGGGGAGGGGACGUCAGAGCAGGAUCUGGGGCUGAUAAAAGCCCACCCCUGGGUAGGGGCAGAGUGGGGCAGGGGGCUGAGCCCCACACGUGGGGAUGGAGGACAGGCUGUGGGAGGGUGUGAACCGGAGACUGCUUGAAGGGGUGCUGGGGACUUUGAGAGAGGGUGGCUGGCCCUGUCUGGUCGGGGAUGCUGGCCCAGACACAGGCCAUGGCUGGGAUGGGGUUCAGGAACAGGACCGCUGCCUCUCCCGGGCCAGGGCCCUCCCCAGCUGCUCCUGGCUUUCCGGUUCUUGGGGUUGGGGGCGGGCCUGUGCCAUGACCCCGCCACUGAGGCUGUGAGGAGGCUGUGGGUGCCCAAGGGCACCAAGGCACACCCCUACUCUCGCACCCCAUGUGUGGGCCCGAGCACCUGUUCUGCUGCCCCAAAGAUCUGGAGAGGUUUCCCAGGCAACUGUCUCUCACAGCCUGUCUGCCUGGCACUCCCGUAUCCCAUAAAUGCCACCACAUCUGGCUAUGGGCGGGCACGCCUGCCUGGCAUCCACGGGCCAGCAGGUGUGGCGGAGCACAGCCCACUUCCUGGCUGCGUCAGAAGGCUGCCAGGGCCUUUUGGCUGUCCUUGCCAGCAGGCGAGCACUGCCAGGGCACUGUGCGUGGGUGCUGGGCCAUUCUGCCAUGUGGGAAGGGGUGGAGGCAGCCCAGUGCCUUCAGCAUGUGCCUAGGGUGCCUGUCAGCUACAGGUCUCACUUGGAAAUUGGGAGGGUGCACGGCCACCAGGCUGCUUAGGCCUGCCAGCCUCAGGGCCUGUCACCGCUGUCUUAGCCUGAUUUGCAGGGUGUCAGCGCUGGGCAGAGAUGAUCAUUUGGGUGACUCUGAGGAUGCCAGUGGCUGGGACACUUGUUCUUUCGCGGUGGAAGGAGUUGGAGAGGGCUGGUUCCCUGACCUGCGGCCAGCCUGGCUUCUGAAACCAGCUCAGUGGGCUGGGGCCUGAUUCAUCAUCCAUAAAUGCGUCCUUUUAUGCCACAGUGGGUAAGGGGCCUCCUAGCCCACCGGUCUGCAGGUGCGGGAGUAGGAGAUGGGUGGCUCUGAUGCCCCCACCCACUCGAGCAGCUUCUGCUCUGCCUGGGAUGCAAACUCCCACAGCUGAAACAUUCUUUUGUAAACAUGAAUUUUGGCUUAGAAAAAACUCAUUUCCACAGUGCACGUGUCAGUCCCAACCAGAAAUUAUUUUCCAAUAAAGCAAAACUCCCUGUCACCACAGCA